GACGAACGCUGGCGGCGUGCUUAACACAUGCAAGUCGAACGGAAAGGCCCUGCUUUUGUGGGGUGCUCGAGUGGCGAACGGGUGAGUAACACGUGAGUAACCUGCCCUUGACUUUGGGAUAACUUCAGGCAACUGGGGCUAAUACCGGAUAGGAGCUCCUGCUGCAUGGUGGGGGUUGGAAAGUUUCGGCGGUUGGGGAUGGACUCGCGGCUUAUCAGCUUGUUGGUGGGGUAGUGGCUUACCAAGGCUUUGACGGGUAGCCGGCCUGAGAGGGUGACCGGCGACAUUGGGACUGAGAUACGGCCCAGACUCGUACGGGAGGCAGCAGUGGGGAAUAUUGCACAAUGGGCCGAAGCCUGAUGCAGCAGCGCCGCGUGCGGGAUGACGGCCUUCGGGUUGUAAACCGCUUUCGCCUGUGACGAAGCGUGAGUGACGGUAAUGGGUAAAGAAGCACCGGCUAACUACGUG
rnacentral:rRNA from 1 species